rnacentral:rRNA from 1 species
GACAGAGGAUGCAAGCGUUAUCCGGAAUGAUUGGGCGUAAAGCGUCUGUAGGUGGCUUUUCAAGUCCGCCGUCAAAUCCCAGGGCUCAACCCUGGACAGGCGGUGGAAACUACCAAGCUGGAGUACGGUAGGGGCAGAGAGAAUUUCCGGUGGAGCGGUGAAAUGCAUUGAGAUCGGGAAGAACACCAACGACGAAAGCACUCUGCUGGGCCGACACUGACACUGAGAGACGAAAGCUAGGGGAGCAAAUGGG